rnacentral:rRNA from 1 species
GACGAAGGAUGCAAGCGUUAUCCGGAUUCAUUGGGUUUAAAGGGCGCGUAGGUGGCCUUAUAAGUCAGUGGUGAAAUCUCUCGGCUUAACUGAGAAAUUGCCAUUGAUACUGUAGGGCUUGAGUACAGUUGCUGUGGGCGGAAUAUGUCAUGUAGUGGUGAAAUACAUAGAGAUGUCAUAGAACACCGAUUGCGAAGGCAGCUCACAAAACUGUAACUGACACUGAGGCUCGAAAGUGCGGGGAUCAAACAGG